rnacentral:sRNA from 2 species
CCUAGCCUAUUGGUGAUUUCUGUCGCUGUAGUGGAAUAUUCCGGGAACUCUCUCUAAUGAGUAUGCAGAGCCUCCAUUUCGCCACAUCCAUCUGGGGUUAUUAAUCGUUUUCUGCAAGAUCCUGGCGCAGAUAUGCCUACUUUUGCGGCACAGUGACUACAAGUCCUCAGAUGGCGCAACGUAAGUGGACAAUGUUGCAGGGUGACCACAACACCGUGCUCUCUUCCCAACUGCUUUAGGGUUUAUUCUCUCACCUAUAGGCGCAUGAUGCAAUGCAAGCAUUCAGAUUUGAAGGCUCCAAAUACCCGCCCAACCCAAUGUCUUCGUACCUUGGCAGGCUCCUUGAGCCUUCUGAAUGUGAGACGGCUUAAGGAUCUUGCCACGAACCCAUACACUUAUAUGUGCACUAGCCUACUUGUUCUCCAGUGUCGCUAUGGGAUAUACGGAGUCAACUAUGACCCAUGCGGCAUAAUCGAAGCGGAGGGGUGUUCGUUAUCAUUCUAUUUGCCCAGGUUGAAGAAGAGCCGGGCAAGAACCGGG